rnacentral:lncRNA from 1 species
AGUUUUCCAGGUUUGAUUUGGGGACUGGGAGACAGCAGCCUAAACUUGAUCAUCCUUUUGGCAAUUACAGGGAGUCACACUCGAGGUAUGCAGAAGUUUCUGAGCCAGGGAUCAAACCCGAGCUGCAGCAGUGACAACAUCAGAUCCUUAUCUGGAAGGCCACCAGGGAACUCCCUGUCCUCCCAUUUUGACUCUGGACUAGACCUGUGACUUGUUUGGGCCAAUUUGAUGUUUGCAAAUAUGACACAAGCAGAGGUUUGAAAAGUGCUGUUGGGUUUGCUUGCUCUGGAUUUUCUGCCAUGAGAACAUGACCAGGCUGCUACCUAGAAAAUGGUUGUGUCAUCCCAGUCAUUUCCCCUGAAAAAAAUUCUAGCCCAACCACAGCCAUCUGACCCCCAGUCGCAAGUGAGCCAAAAUCAGCUAAGCCCAGCCUAGUUCAGCGGAACCCUGCAAAAUAAUGAGUUCAGUGUCCUCAUAUGCCAUAGGGUUUUAUGAUUGUUUGUUAUGCAACAUUAUUGUGACUAAAGGUAGUUGACACACAUAUAUCAUGUUAUUUUAUUCUCACAGCUUUCUGAUGUUACUUCCUUGCAUCCUCUGGAACCCCUGUUGAACCUUUUACCUCCUUAACCUAUCUGUCCACAGAACAAUUCCUGGUUUUCCUUUAGAAAAAUGCAGUUUCUUCCUUCUUGUUCUGUUCUUUUUCUUUAUCUGAUGGCCUGUGUGUAAGUGGGAGAUGAGGUUGGCAUUUUACACUGCUGCCUUCAAAUCAUUUUGCUUCUAUAUUUGGGCAAUGUUAAGCUCUUCCUAAAAUAUAGCCUGGUUAUUGGAGUUCCCGUCUUGGCGCAGUGGUUAACGAAUCCGACUAGGAACCAUGAGGUUGCGGGUUCGAUCCCUGGCCUUGCUCAGUGGGUUAAGCAUCUGUCGUUGCCGUGAGCUGUGGUGUAGGUUGCAGACGCGGCUCGGAUCCCGCGUUGCUGUGGCUCUGGCGUAGGCCGGUGGCUACAGCUCCAAUUAGACCCCUAGCCUGGGAACCUCCAUAUGCCGCGGGAGCGGCCCUAGAAAAGGCAAAAAGACCAAAAAAAAAUAUAUAUAUAUAUAUACAUAUAUACAUAUAUAUAUCCAGUCCUUAUAAUCUCUUGGUACAGAUUAUCCUCCAAGAUCUAAAAUUCCUCUUUAUUACAUCAUAUAUCAUAACUGCUUAACCUUCCAGUUCUUUAUACUUAUUUACAUAUAUAUACUCCAUCAUUUCACAACUGUCUUAUUAUUUUGCCCUUUUUCCUUCUGUUUCGUGGACUCAGCAAAAUACUUUCUUUGAAUCUAUCCACAUGCUUUCCUUCUCUGCUCUUAGGCCAAAGUGGCUCAUCCAGAACCGCUACAAAAAAGAAAUCCACAGUGGCCGAAGUGCGCUGCUGUCUCCUUUCCUCCUUUCCCAGACAUCAUCUGUUUGUUCUCACUUAUCCCUGUCCUUUCAUAUCCAUGUGGGACUCUUGCCAACUCAGUUUCCCCUUCUUUCUCUCUUACUAUCUCUUUAAUAUUAUAUUAAAGAGACUUACUUUCCUAUUUAAGUCCUGCAUGAUCCUUCUUCCUGUGCAAAAGCCAGGUCUGUAAGAGCCACCUUCAGGAGUUCCUGAUGGCUUAGCAGUUAAAGAUCUGGCAUUGUCACUGCUGUGGCCUGGGUUGCUGCUGUGCUACCUGUUCGAUCCCUCACCUGGGAACUUCUAUAAUGCUGCGGGUAUAGCCAAAAAAAAGGGGGGAGCCACCUUCAUUUCUUAGAUAGCCUUCUUGAAUCCCCAUUUCCUUUACAGCCCACUGCAUUCAGGCCUAGGCCCACACCAUUUGACUGAAUUUACCCUGUGUUAGGUUAUACACUCCUGAUUGUAAUAGGCUCUCUUUAGACAAAUUUUACAUUUAAAUACUACUAUUGUUUGAUUGUUAAGUUUCUUCCCAUUUUCUCCUAUUAUAAGUAAAGCUGCAAAG